AUGGGUGCAUGUAUGGGUCUAUGUCUACCCCUGUAUAAAAUGCUUGUAUAUCUGUCUGCCUACAAUCUAUGCUUCAAUAUAGUCUCCUUCCUCGCCAGGCUCCGGAGCAUGGACUUCACGUGUGGCCAGCCAGAGGAUGCCCAAUUACCUUGCCUUAUGGCCAUUGUACAUUUCACCUGCGUGGGGUGGGUCUUGAAAGAGGAACUGUGUGGAGGUGUGAUGAAAGUAUCCACUGAAUGCUUGCAUUUAAAAGUGUGGAAAUUAUUACUUGAGCUAAAGUCAGCACAGCUCCAAACUUCUCCCAAAGGGUGUGAUGAACGAACAAAAGAUAUGGAAAUUAAAAAAGACAUAAAUUAAAAUUAGAAUUAAAGAACAACUUUUUUCAUUUUUUCAGUAAAUUGACUUAAUUGUUAGAAAAUGAUAAUAGAAUGCUGUGUAUGCACAAAUUGAAAAUAUCAGCUUAUAAACCUUUUAAUACCUAAAACAUAUAAUAUGGUGAUUUACUUUACUUGGCAGACGCUUUUAUCCAAAGUCACUUACAAGGAGAAGACACCAACUAUUCUUAUUCAGUUUCCAUAGUUAGGGUUAGUUAUUCAUAGUUAUUCAUAUGCUUUUAUUAGUUUAAUAUGUUAUAUAAUAAGAGUUAAAUAAUUAUUCUGUAAUAUUGAUUUUGCAUUUAGAAUUCCGAAGACACCACAGUAACAAGUUAAUCCAUUUCUGGAUGGAUUGUCAGAAAUUAUAUAUUUGUAUAUGUGACAUGAUCCAGAUUUAAGGUCUGUAAAAAAUACAUACAGGCAUGCAGAUCCCUUUUAUUUAUUCCUCAAAGUGGAUUUUUUUGCAGAGCAUUAUUAAAAGAUUGUUUCUCCUAAGAAAACACAAAUGUUACAUUGUAAAUAUUCUAAAGAAAGGUGUUCUCCCCUGCUGUUGGUGUUUUACUACCUUUCCACUACAAUAAAGUCUCAUUUGAAUUUCUAUUUGUGAGGGGGAAAAAAAAACACCACCACCAUUGUAAUCAGAACUGUUUUAAAGGCAUAUCGGCAUAAAGCAUUAAAACCACAAGAUGAAACAGAGCGGCCUAUAAAUACAAGGCAAAGCAAAUGUUUAAUAUUACAGGGGAAUCUCCCCACUGCUCGGCGCAAGGUCAGGGUUGGCCUGCUGCUCUCAGCUCGACUCGGCUCAGAUCUGCUCUGCAUUGCAUUAGGGCUGUAGCUGCUGCGCUGUCUGCCCAUCCCCCACACACAGAAACUGGAGUUGUGCUGCUCUUGCAACCAGAGCGAGGCAGGCAGGCAGGCAGGGAGAGACAGACAGAGCUGGGGGUGGGGAGACACUCGC
ensembl:lncRNA